rnacentral:rRNA from 1 species
UUCGGGGGGCGGCCUAAACAUGCAAGUCGAGCGGUAGCACAGAGAGCUUGCUCUCGGGUGACGAGCGGCGGACGGGUGAGUAAUGUCUGGGAAACUGCCUGAUGGAGGGGGAUAACUACUGGAAACGGUAGCUAAUACCGCAUAAUGUCGCAAGACCAAAGUGGGGGACCUUCGGGCCUCAUGCCAUCAGAUGUGCCCAGAUGGGAUUAGCUAGUAGGUGGGGUAACGGCUCACCUAGGCGACGAUCCCUAGCUGGUCUGAGAGGAUGACCAGCCACACUGGAACUGAGACACGGUCCAGACUCCUACGGGAGGCAGCAGUGGGGAAUAUUGCACAAUGGGCGCAAGCCUGAUGCAGCCAUGCCGCGUGUGUGAAGAAGGCCUUCGGGUUGUAAAGCACUUUCAGCGGGGAGGAAGGCGUUAAGGUUAAUAACCUUGGCGAUUGACGUUACCCGCAGAAGAAGCACCGGCUAACUCCGUGCCAGCAGCCGCGGUAAUACGGAGGGUGCAAGCGUUAAUCGGAAUUACUGGGCGUAAAGCGCACGCAGGCGGUCUGUCAAGUCGGAUGUGAAAUCCCCGGGCUCAACCUGGGAACUGCAUUCGAAACUGGCAGGCUAGAGUCUUGUAGAGGGGGGUAGAAUUCCAGGUGUAGCGGUGAAAUGGCGUAGAAUAAA